GGGGAUGUCCCGGAUUCGACUGGUAGUGGGAUUUGGCGGACUACGUGUCGAAGGCUCGUCUUCGUUAAAACGGAAAUUAAAAUUUAAAAGCUGAAAAUACAAAUUUAAGCUACGCCGCCGCUUAAGGCGACCGUCAGAGUCGUAACCUAUGGACGACAAGUCUGGCGUGGUUAAUAGGGUAACGAGUGCAUUAGGUGCUCUGUGAUGCAAACGGAAUUAGGAGCUAGGUCAAAUAGGAGCCUGCGAAUUGGCGCUGAUGCGAUGACUUUAAAUAAUUCGAUACACACGUAAAAGUCUUUCUGGUUUUCUAUCAACACAGGGGUUCGACUCCCCUCAUCUCCACCA
rnacentral:tmRNA from 1 species